rnacentral:rRNA from 1 species
GACGAACGCUGGCGGCGUGCCUAACACAUGCAAGUCGAACGGGGGUAUUUAUUUCGAUGAAUACCUUAGUGGCGAACGGGUGAGUAACGCGUGAGCAACCUAUCCUUAAGAGGGGGAUAACAUCUGGAAACAGAUGCUAAUACCGCAUAAGACCACACUGCCGCAUGGCAGAGGGGUCAAAGGAGCAAUCCGUUUAAGGAGGGGCUCGCGUCCCAUUAGAUAGUUGGUGAGGUAACAGCUCACCAAGUCAGCGAUGGGUAGCCGAGCUGAGAGGCUGAUCGGCCACACUGGAACUGAGACACGGUCCAGACUCCUACGGGAGGCAGCAGUGGGGAAUAUUGGGCAAUGGGGGGAACCCUGACCCAGCAACGCCGCGUGAGGGAAGAAGGCCUUCGGAUUGUAAACCUCUGUCAUUAGGGAAGAAGAAAGUGACGGUACCUAAUGAGGAAGCCCCGGCUAACUACGUGCCAGCCGCCGCCGUAA